rfam:Magnetospirillum gryphiswaldense MSR-1 v2, complete genome
CCAGACGGCUGGACGGCCGCCCUGCACGGCAACGUGUGGGGAGGAAAGUCCGGGCUCCACGGAAGCACGGUGCCGGAUAACGUCCGGCGGGGGUGACCCUAGGGAAAGUGCCACAGAAAGCAAACCGCCGCUGUCCGCAGCGGUAAGGGUGAAAGGGUGCGGUAAGAGCGCACCGCGGACCCGGCAACGGGAACGGCACGGCAAACCCCACCGGGAGCAAGACCAAAUAGGGGCGACAGUUUUCGGCCUUUUGGCCGGAACCAAACGCGCUUUCGCGUAGUCGCCCGGGUCGGUCGCGUGAGGCGUCCGGUAACGGACGUCCCAGAUGAAUGGCCGUCGCCAUGGGUAACCAUGGGACAGAACCCGGCUUACAGGCCGUCUGGCGCA